rnacentral:rRNA from 1 species
AUACGGAGGGUGCAAGCGUUAAUCGGAAUCACUGGGCGUAAAGCGCGCGUAGGCGGUCUUUUAAGUCGGACGUGAAAGCCCUCGGCUCAGCCGGGGAAUUGCGUUCGAAACUGGGAGACUUGAGUCCUGGAGAGGGUGGCGGAAUUCCGGGUGUAGGAGUGAAAUCCGUAGAUAUCCGGAGGAACACCGGUGGCGAAGGCGGCCACCUGGACAGGUACUGACGCUGAGGCGCGAAAGCGUGGGGAGC